rnacentral:rRNA from 1 species
GUUUGAUCCUGGCUCAGGACGAACGCUGGCGGCGCGCCUAACACAUGCAAGUCGAACGAGCGAGAGAGAGCUUGCUUUCUCGAGCGAGUGGCGAACGGGUGAGUAACGCGUGAGGAACCUGCCUCAAAGAGGGGGACAACAGUUGGAAACGACUGCUAAUACCGCAUAAGCCCACGGGUCGGCAUCGACCAGAGGGAAAAGGAGCAAUCCGCUUUGAGAUGGCCUCGCGUCCGAUUAGCUAGUUGGUGAGGUAACGGCCCACCAAGGCAACGAUCGGUAGCCGGACUGAGAGGUUGAACGGCCACAUUGGGACUGAGACACGGCCCAGACUCCUACGGGAGGCAGCAGUGGGGAAUAUUGCACAAUGGGGGGAACCCUGAUGCAGCGACGCCGCGUGGAGGAAGAAGGUCUUCGGAUUGUAAACUCCUGUUGUUGAGGAAGAUAAUGACGGUACUCAACAAGGAAGUGACGGCUAACUACGUGCCAGCAGCCGCGGUAAAACGUAGGUCACAAGCGUUGUCCGGAAUUACUGGGUGUAAAGGGAGCGCAGGCGGGAAGACAAGUUGGAAGUGAAAUCCAUGGGCUCAACCCAUGAACUGCUUUCAAAACUGUUUUUCUUGAGUAGUGCAGAGGUAGGCGGAAUUCCCGGUGUAGCGGUGGAAUGCGUAGAUAUCGGGAGGAACACCAGUGGCGAAGGCGGCCUACUGGGCACCAACUGACGCUGAGGCUCGAAAGUGUGGGUAGCAAACAGGAUUAGAUACCCUGGUAGUCCACACCGUAAACGAUGAUUACUAGGUGUUGGAGGAUUGACCCCUUCAGUGCCGCAGUUAACACAAUAAGUAAUCCACCUGGGGAGUACGACCGCAAGGUUGAAACUCAAAGGAAUUGACGGAAGGGCGAA